UGCGGCCUACACAAGCGUGGGCAGAGGAGAGGCGGCCGCUCUCUGAGCCCUAUUCCCGGCGGAGUGCACAUAGCACCAAGCUGUCCCCCCCCCUCUGGACCGGCGGGGGUCAUCCCGGUCCCCCUCCUGACAUACCCAGCACCAACAAGCCGGCUACAAGAAGCCAUCAAGCGGGGCUAGAAGGGGAAAACCGGGGGAAAACAUCUGCUCAACGGACCCCCUAACGAAAGCCAGGGCUCCCUGCGCGUCCCCAGCAAAAUGGGACGGAAAAAUAGAAAAACAACCACGGACAAGCCGUCCUCGGGGCUUACUAUAGGGGAUAUGUGGAGACAGGCACGAGGCCCAAGCGGAUCCAAUAUGGCGGCGCUCCACGGAGGCUGCUCAGACUUCUCUGAAGAAGAAUCUGGAGAGGAG